GACAGAGGGUGCUAGCGUUGUUCGGAAUUACUGGGCGUAAAGGGCGCGUAGGCGGUUCGUUAAGUCCUGUGUGAAAUCCCCCGGCUCAACUGGGGAACUGCACAGGAAACUAGCGGGCUUGAGUUCGGGAGAGGGAAGCGGAAUUCCGGGUGUAGCGGUGAAAUGCGUAGAUAUCCGGAGGAACACCGGUGGCGAAGGCGGCUUCCUGGACCGACACUGACGCUGAGGCGCGAAAGCUAGGGGAGCAAACGGG
rnacentral:rRNA from 1 species